rnacentral:rRNA from 1 species
AGCAGCAGUAAGGAAUAUUGGUCAAUGGGCGGAAGCCUGAACCAGCCACGCCGCGUGCAGGAAGAAGGCCCUACGGGUUGUAAACUGCUUUUAUACGGGAAGAACCGCCCUCCUGCGGGGGGGUAUGACGGUACCGUAGGAAUAAGCAUCGGCUAACUCCGUGCCAGCAGCCGCGGUAAUACGGAGGAUGCAAGCGUUAUCCGGAUUCAUUGGGUUUAAAGGGUGCGUAGGUGGGUCCAUAAGUCAGUGGUGAAAUCCGGCAGCUCAACUGUCGCACUGCCUCUGAUACUGUGGGUCUUGAGUUAAGUUGAAGCAGGCGGAAUAUGACAUGUAGCGGUGAAAUGCAUAGAUAUGUCAUAGAACACCGAUAGCGAAGGCAGCCUGCUAAACUUACACUGACACUGAUGCACGAAAGCGUGGGUAGCGAACAGGAUUAGAUACCCUGGUAGUCCACGCCGUAAACGAUGAUCACUCGCUGCAUGCGAUAUA